GGGUUCUUUUAAAGAUGGGAGUGCUCUCUGCAACAUUCGCUACCUUGGCUCACCUCAUCUACCAACAAUCUCGACUCAUCUCUUUUCGCCGGCAAGCUUGGGCUAACCUUACCUCGACGGAGACCGCCACACAUGCUCAAGUUUACAAGCCCUAGGUCAGGUUUAACGACCAUCAGAUCUUCUUUGUGAUUUUUCUCGCACAAGCCUCCCUCUCAAUAACGUAGUCUUCCUUGUGUUGAUCAGAAGUCGCAGGGCUUGAUUCCGAGAGUUCAGCGACCAUUAGAUCUUAUUUCACCCCUCUCUCUGUGCCUUCUGUAAAUUCCUCUCUGAAUCCUAUCUUUGAUGUUGAUAUCUCUAACUAGCCGAGAGAACAAAGGAGAAACAUAACUAAUUUUUUUGUUGCUUCUUAUCGGAAAACACACACAAACACACUUUCUGUGUGCUUUCUCUUUCCUCAUUCCUAAGCCCUAACUUCGACUCGGAAUCCUACAUCUCCGAUCUACGAACCUUUGUCCCCUUUGAAUCCCUAAGAUCAGACCGCCUUCUCAAAUUAGGGCUUGCGGUAUCGAUUCAAAACAUGUAUCCCACCGCAUCCAUCAUCCAUCAAAACAUCUAUAUCCCAAAAUGAUUGUUUCUUCUUCAAAACCCAUUGAACGAGCAUGCGUAUGAAAAGUUAAAGAAAAACAUAUGGCAUGUCGAAGGUGAAGCAUAUUCAUCCAGUGGAUCGUGAUUUUUGGUCAAGAUAACUCCAUUUUCCUAUUAUAGGUCAACUACAAUCCAUUAUAUGUCCUUCGCCUCUUCCCUUGUUCCCCCAAUGCCUUCCCUAUGCCACCUUCUUCUCUCUUCUUCCAGCGACACCCCAAUUCCUUAAUCAGACUCAUCUCCGUUGCUUCACCAAGUGCCUCUCUAUUGCAUUGAUCUUAUUGUUUUCUUAUAGUUGUCAAUUUGAAGUGUAUAAGGUUUUUGAUUCAGCGUUUGACUCUUUAUGGUCCCCUGAUUCAGAUUAUUCUAGCCCUAAUUUGUUUUUUUUCAUAGCCCUAAUUGCAUUUUUUACAUUCUUUUGCCUAUAUCAACUAAACACUUAACCAUGUUUCAUAAGAUACUUAAACACAACUAUGUUACCAUAUAUUUUUACAAUUUGUAAUGUUGUGCUUGUGGUGUGAUAGCAAACCAGCAAUUUUUGUUAAUAUGAAAAAAAAAUCAAAGUUUGAAAUGCCCUUGACUAUGAAAAUUUCUUUAUAUACAAUCUGGUCUUGUAAACUUAGAGUUGGUUUGCACCUGUUUCAUAAAAUAGAGUACCUAAUCUUUUUGAAGAUUUUUUAUGAUAUCUAAAUUGCAUGAAACUUUUCAAAAGAAAAUUAAACUGAAUAAUUAGUUGAUAUUUGCAUUUAAGUAUAAUAAUUUUAUUUUUCUGUUAAUUGAUGAUGAUCAACUUUUUGUAUUGAACCAGAUCUUGAAGUGCUUAUACUAUUGUUUGGCAUCUAUCUUUUAAUAUGCCAUGUAGGAAAUAAAAGCUGAUUGGUAAAGGGAUGCUUCAUCCCUACUUGUUGCUAUUGGUUCUCAUUACCAGACCUUGUAAGUAGAUAGAAAUAGUCAAAAAAAAUAUCAUCAUUCUUUCACAUCUAUAUUUGUUCCAAAAUGUAUGCACAAAACUCAGCUCUUCCAGAAACUCAGCUGAAAGAGGCAUCCAUUACAACAAUGGUUGAUGACCCUGUAAAAUCAGAGCACACUCGGUGGAAUGCAAAGAUUGUAUUAAUGAGUGGACACAGUCAAAAUGCUUUGAUUCAGAUUGUAUGCGAAAGUCCUCACAGGACUUGAUUUGAAAAACUACCAACAUUGGAAUCUUCCUCGAGAUUCAUUAUGACCGAGUUAAAAAAGAUGGAAUAUUUAGCCAUAAGGAGGUCACAAUACUCUAUGUUCCUGAUUUAUCAGAUUGUUUACCUUCUACAGAUGCAUGGAGGGAUCAAUGGCUUUCACACAAGAAAACUAUCGCUGAGAGAGAGCAUCGAUAUGCUCUUAAAAGAGAGGUUUAUUGUUACUGCUUCAUAUUUUACAUAUAUAUUUAAAAAUAGAUUAGAAAAAAGGACAGAUAAAACUAACAUAUUGAAACUAAAAGUUGUUUCUUCCAUCAUAUGUUUUGGUUUAUAUAGAUAGCUCGAGGAAAGAAGGAAGGAUUGAAAGAUAAGGAACCUGGGACACCCAAAGAUCUGAAGAAGGAUGCAAAAUUAGAAAAAAAGAAAGUGCCUGAAUCUGAUGAGUCAGCAUUAAAACUCUCUAGGCAUACAAAGGACCAAAACUCCCUUUUAUUAAAUCUUCUAUCUUUGAUAAACUGAUUAACCAAUCUUUUUUAUGAAAUAUAAUCAAAAUAUCAAAUCCUCAAAUUCCUGCUCCAACUUAUAUUAAAGUGCCACAAGGCAUACAAAGGACCAAAACAAUCAUUCCAUAUUUUAUUGAAUGUAAACUCAUGGUUUAUUAAAAGAAAUUGUAGUAUACCCUUUUUAACCCCAAAAUGACCAUAAUGCCCCUUAAAAUUACAUAUAUUUGUGUAUUAUAACAGCUUACUUUUUCAUUGUAUCUUGAAAUUUUUUUACCAAUAGUAAUCAAACUUUUUUAAUAAAGUGAUAUAUGCAAAGUGCAAACAUCCAGUAUCGGUAAAAAGCAUAAGUACAUUGUUAUUUUUGGUUAAAGUUUUCUAAUAUAAGUUUUUAUAAAGACUUUUAGGAGGCAUGCAGAGGUUGUUGCAUAUGAUCAUGUUGUUUUCCCAAUCUUUAACAAACAUUACUAUUUUUUUUUAUUUCUUUCUUACACAUUAUUAUUUUACUUUAUAACAUUUACCAUUUCUUAUAUUACUUUCUUAUUAUUAUAUUGUAGAAAGAGCAACAGUAGCAGAAUUGCAUCCCUGAUAAACAUUAUGUCCCCACCUUGCUUACAUGAUUCAAUCUCAAUCUCAUCAAUGGCAGCCGCAGCAAGCACAAGUGAAGCGCAAGGACUUGGAAUAGAGGAAUUCCAUGGGUGCACCCUCCUCCAUCUUGCUUGUGAAACUGCAGAUAUUUGGAUGAUUAAGCUGCUCUUACAUUAUGGUGCAGCUGAGAUGAUGUGAAACGCUCAGAAGGUAUUUCUAUUUUACCCUUCUGCACUUUCUCAAAAUUACAUGAGCAAAUUAAGCAAAUGGAAGUUGCAGUUGAGAUGAUGGUGCUAAAGAAGAGAUUCACCAGGUGUAUUGUGUGUCUGAAAGAACAGAAGGCAAUCCCUUGCUAGGUGUAUUUUGCUAAAGAAGACCUUCUUUCCAAUUCAUUAUAUUUACUUGUGAUUCUUCUCGGUUAAUGAUAUCAGGACAUGAGAGAAUGUUAUAUGUAAGAAAUCCUUCUAUUUCUCUCAAAUGUUGAGUUAUGUCAUGAUAAUGAUAUAUAUUUCUUUUCGGGUUGUUGAUGUUGGAAGCCAGAAUUUAAGUCAUUGAUUUAUCCCAUGUUGUAAGGAGUCAAAUUCAGAAUUACCACCUGCAGUCAACUGUUUUGGAGAUGAGUAAUAAUCAAGUAAUCUAGCAAGUAUAUGUGUAUGUAUGAUAUUUGUAGGGCUAAUCUGAUGUAAUUUUGUUUGUCUGUUUGAGCAGGCAACACUAAUUCAUUCCAAAAGGUUAAUUUUUUUGCAUUCCCUAAAUUUAUUUUUAAACUAUAAAUACUUUAUAAUGAAAUGUUGUAUAAUGUUUAUCUGGAUAAAAUCCUAUUUUAUUACAAGAAUGUACCAUGGUUGCUGCUUCAGAUAUGUUCACAGAUCAUUAUUUUGAAAUAUUUGGUGGCAGUUUGUUUAAAUGUUUGUUGUUGACACAUACAUGAGUUGAAGACAUGGAAAUUGAGUUAUCGGAUAAUAAGGGCAUAAGAUUGUCCCAUUGUUCAAAUACAUUGAGAAAAUGAGAACAACAACCAUACAAAUAAACAAGGAAAUCAAGCCAGCUGGCAGUUGCAACACUAUUAGGCCCUGAAAAGGAGAGAGAAAUCAACUGGUACUUACAGCCUGGACAUAAGGAGAAGCUGAUUAGACAGUUGACACCAAUUAUUCACAAGAUUUCAGAGAUUGUUUUACGUUGUGCUAUUAGUGUCUGUAAUGCAGGCAGAGGAAGGAACAUCAAACUUUUGAGGUACAACAGUUUGCCCACUUUGUCCCUUCUUUAAAAAAAAUUGUUACGGGCACCAAAAGAGUUGGGUUUUGGGAUAUGAGAGAUCAGUUAAAGCUAUUGAAGAAUUCAAUAGAUUUGCAGUACAAGGCAAUGUAUAUGAAACCAUAUGUUCCAAGAUUGCCCCUUCCAUAUUUGGCCAUGACUAUGUAAAAAAAGUUGUGGCUUGUCUCCUGUUUGGAGGAUCAAGGAAGACUCUACCUGAUGGUGUAAGAUUGAGGGGUGAUAUUAAUGAUUUGCUCUUGGGAGACCAGAAGACAGGUUGGAUUAAAAAUUAAACAAGGUGUCUCUUAAUAGCAAUGUAAUAAUAGGUUAGAUAGUUAGGGAUUGUAUUUUAUGCAAUGGAUUGUAUUUUUUGUAUAUGAUUAUUUGUAAGACAUUAAAUUUUAUGCAAUGGAUUGUA